AUCUGUGGCCAUACUAUCCUAAAUGUGCCUGAUCGUGUCUAAUCUGGAAGCUAAGCAGGGUCAGUCCUGGUUAGUAUAUAGAUGGGAAAAAUUUUUAAAUUUGGACACUUUUGUUU
ensembl:rRNA 5S_rRNA 5S ribosomal RNA